UACAAAGUGCCUGAAAAAAGGACCAUUUUGAUGAGAUGGACAUGGUAAUUUUACCCUUUGUAA
rnacentral:tRNA from 1 species